CAACUUCAACAACGGAUCUCUUGGCUCUCGCAUCGAUGAAGAACGCAGCGAAAUGCGAUACGUAAUGUGAAUUGCAGAAUUCAGUGAAUCAUCGAAUCUUUGAACGCACAUUGCACUCUCUGGUAUUCCGGAGAGUAUGCUUGUUUGAGUAUCAGUA
rnacentral:rRNA from 1 species